rnacentral:sRNA from 1 species
CAUACCUAUGUGAGUGAAUUUGCGUGGGUGUUCUGUGCGUGUGCGCGCUUCAAGAAGCUUCCUGGAAGAGUGCAAUGCGUAACGCAGACAGAUACACACGACACGUCUCGACCUCGUAACGGUUAUAACGGCUUGGGUUGUGGGCGGAUGCGUAGUUGCGUUUUUUUGAUACCCUUUGCAGAGGGUAUUCCAAUUUCGAAUGACCUAUUUUAUUCGAAUCUUAAAACAUUUGAUGGUUCCGCUACGGUUUUUGUUUCGCUAUAACAACACCCGGCCAUUAUAUUUCGCUCUCCUCCGCCCGAAGGCGAACACUGCACGAGGAAGAGUGUGUGUGUGUAGUAGGAGAGAGAGUCAGCGCGCGGAAGGGGGAGCGUAGCUACGUAGGGAAAGACCUCUCGAGUGUGGUGGCCUACCAAUCCCAGGGGUCCCGCACUCUGACCAGCAAACCUUAAAUUUUACUACUAGCGAAAAAAUCUCCAACAACUUAUUUUAAUGCAUACAGGGAUAUUCCCAUCAACUUUCUGUGGAAUUGCAAUCGUGACAUAUGUAUUUUUAUAAUUUUUUCCGGAAAUUAAACGUUGGGAUCUGGUAUCAUAAUCGAAUCAUGCUAGUGCAAAGCCAGGGAAACCUCUAUUUAAUGUGGUAUAGAUCAGAUCUAUUUUUUAAAGCAAAGCGAAAAAGAACAGUAAAGAAAAUGUUUAAUUAGUUAGUUAGUAUUUAGUGUCUGAAAGUGUUAUAGUUAGUGACUGACGGCCGGGAACAAAUGUCUAAAAUUACUAUUUUUAUAGAGUACUUACUAAACACAAUAAUAAUUUAAUUAAAGAAACGUUUUACUGGUUUAAGGGAGGUGCAAAAAAUAUUUAUUUUUCUAAAGCCAUAACUUUCUUGACCAAAAAACGUUGUUAGAAAAGUGACACGCAUUUCAAAGUAAAUAUUCGGAUGCAAUUGGCUCCAACAUUUCCCUAAAAUUUAUAGCCUACUUCUUCCGGAAAUAAAAAAGUCAUGAACUUUAAACCAACUUUGCAGGGAAAUAACGAGAGAAAUGUAACUAUUUCAUACAGUUCCAGUAACAGCUGCACAAUCUAAAUUACAAAUAAUAAAAAACUAUUUAAGAAUUAGUAUGGGCCAAUAUCGACUCAGAUAUCUAUCGCUAAUAGCAACAGAAAAUAAAGCAGCAUCUACUUUAGAUUUGAGCCAAAUAAUUGAAAGCAAGGCAAGGAAACGGUUGUAAAAAUAGGUUCUGAUUUUCUUUAGUGUGCAAUUAAGUAUUUUCAAUAUUUACCGAUAUUAUUAAUCCAUAAAGCUCACACAGAACCCAUUAAAUUACAAAGUAUCUGAUUUUAGCUAAACCACGGGGCAUGGGCACGGCAAAUGGAUUUGUUCCUUCUGGCUAUAUUAAUGAUCCGAUCUGGAAGGGUGCAAUGCGUAACGCCAGACGCACAUUACAUGUAACGAGCUCGUAGCAGUGCAUAACGACUAGGCUGGGGUUCUAGGCGGAUGCGUCUGCGCUGCGGGGGUCCUGUGUGAUGGGGUAUUUCUUUGUCGAGGCGGCCCUAGUCUAUGCUGGCGGAGUGCUUACGUGUAUAUACGAGCAUAUGCACCAUCUGUUUAGGCACCCACGUAAUGGAUAAAUUAUUCAACGAUUAUAAA